UACGAAGGACCCGAGCGUUAUCCGGAUUUACUGGGUUUAAAGGGUGCGCAGGCGGAUAUGUAAGUCAGUGGUGAAAUCUCCGGGCUUAACCCGGAAACUGCCGUUGAUACUAUAUAUCUUGAAUGCUGUGGAGGUAAGCAGAAUAUGUCAUGUAGCGGUGAAAUGCUUAGAGAUGACAUAGAAUACCUAUUGCGAAGGCAGCUUACUACGCAGAUAUUGACGCUCAUGCACGAAAGCGUGGGGAUCAAACAGG
rnacentral:rRNA from 1 species